ACAUUAUCCUGGACAGCUCUUUACCAUGAACUAGUGACAUUAUCAUGGACAGCUCUUUACCAUGAACUAGUGACAUUAUCAUGGACAGCUCUUUACCAUGAACUAGUGACAUUAUCAUGGACAGCUCUUUACCAUGAACUAGUGAAAUUAUCCUGGACAGCUCUUUACCAUGAACUAUUGAAAUUAUCCUGGACAGCUCUUUACCAUGAACUAUUGAAAUUAUCCUGGACAGCUCUUUACCAUGAACUAUUGAAAUUAUCCUGGACAGCUCUUUACCAUGAACUAUUGAAAUUAUCCUGGACAGCUCUUUACCAUGAACUAUUGAAAUUAUCCUGGACAGCUCUUUACCAUGAACUAUUGAAAUUAUCCUGGACAGCUCUUUUCCAUGAACUAUUGAAAUUAUCCUGGACAGCUCUUUUCCAUGAACUAUUGAAAUUAUCCUGGACAGCUCUUUACCAUGAACUAUUGAAAUUAUCCUGGACAGCUCUUUACCAUGAACUAGUGAAAUUAUCCUGGACAGCUCUUUUCCAUGAACUAUUGAAAUUAUCCUGGACAGCUCUUUUCCAUGAACUAUUGAAAUUAUCCUGGACAGCUCUUUACCAUGAACUAGUGAGAUUAUCCUGGACAGCUCUUUACCAUGAACUAGUGACAUUAUCCUGGACAGCUCUUUACCAUGAACUAGUGACAUUAUCAUGGACAGCUCUUUACCAUGAACUAGUGACAUUAUCAUGGACAGCUCUUUUCCAUGAACUAGUGACAUUAUCAUGGACAGCUCUUUACUAUGAACUAGUGACAUUAUCAUGGACAGCUCUUUACCAUGAACUAGUGACAUUAUCAUGGACAGCUCUUUACUAUGAACUAGUGACAUUAUCAUGGACAGCUCUUUACUAUGAACUAGUGACAUUAUCAUGGACAGCUCUUUACCAUGAACUAGUGACAUUAUCAUGGACAGCUCUUUACUAUGAACUAGUGACAUUAUCAUGGACAGCUCUUUACCGUGGAUUAGUGACAUUAUCCUGGACAGCUCUUUACCAUGAACUAGUGACAUUAUCAUGGACAGCUCUUUACCAUGAACUAGACAUUAUCCUGGACAGCUCUUUACCAUGA
rnacentral:lncRNA from 1 species